ensembl:lncRNA
UAAAUUCCCAAGAAUUCAAACUUAGAUUUUUAGAGUCCAGCUUACUAUUUAUAAAUGAGGAAAGUAAGACAAAAAGUAAUUCAGUUUUUUUUUUUUUUUUUUUUUCCUAAGGACAUGGAACUUGAGCAGCAGAAACAGGACCGAAACCUGGCUCUUCCCUUAUGCCACAGUCUUUCUAUAGCACCUCUGAAAGGAAGAGGAGUUCCAAGAAAGUGAGGCAGGGAAGCAGUGGUAUGCCUUCUUCCUAUUGAGUUAAGUACUGAUUUAUAAUGAAAUAACCUCAUUGUUAGAUUUGUCUGUCUAAUUUUUUAAACAAACACUACCAGAAUUUUUUUAAUUGUAUGACAAAAUUUUUAAUUGUAUGACGAAAUGACAUAUUUAUUCAGCAAUACUAAGUUGCAUUAACUUGGAAUGUUGUUUUCUUUAUUGUUUUUAAAAGAGAUCCUUUUAAAAGGUACCCACUGUAAAUAUUUAAUGCAUACAGUAUGUAACGUCUAGUGAAAAGAGGAAACUGUGAUCUUGAAUUUGGAGUCAGGCAGAGGGCUGCUGCAAUACUCCUGUGAUUCAGUGUCAAGACAGAAAGCCACACUUCAGCAGCUUUUCCUCAGAUUCCUUCUCAUGGAGACAAUGCCCUUUUAACUACAAAGAAGUGGAAAUUCGUGUUAAGCUUUUCAAUGCAAUUAUCGAAACCUGUAGGUGAUACUCCUAACCCUCUGGUUUAUAGAUUUUGGUUUUAUCUUUUUAAGAGAAUUUCCAGCUGAGUGUAUAGUCUACCAAAUAAAAAGUGUGUUCAUUUUUAUGGCACACUUGAAUGUUUUCUAUUCCUUUCCUCUUCCUUUUGCUCCUCUUGGAUAGGUUUGACGCGGUUCCAUGUAAAAAAUGGGCCAAAAUCAUGAAGGUCUUUAAUUCUUACUGAUUUUUUCCAUUCCUUAACAACUAUAAUCAGAGUCAAUUUAAACAAAUUUUUAAGCUAGGUUGCUUUUUUCUUUCUUCUGAAAGAUGAAAAGGUCCAUCCUUACUUAGAGAAUUUUAAUCGGAGGUAUUCCUCUCAUGUAUUGUACACUAUUUCUUUUUAUGAAAUUUAGAAAACAGCAAAAAGUCACUGACAAUAAAUCUAAAGAUACAAAAAGUACAAAAUCUUCAAGCAUAAUUAAGAUAAAAUUAGAUGAGUAAGAAAGUAACAUCAAAACAGAAAAGCAGUUUCUACAUGAGGCCAAAAAAUAUUUUUAAAAAUAAUUAAAUACAAAAUAAUGAAAUGAGAAGGGAAGUAUAAAAAACACAUUUAUAAGAAAUCAAUACAGUUAGUGUAUAACAACUCUUAAAAGAGAUGUAUACCAGAAGAGGCAGAAACUAUAACAGUAGUUCUUUGUGAUACCCUAUUUCUAAGUGUUUUCUUUAAGAAUGAGGCUUUAAUUAUCAAAGGAAUGUUUAAAAUGAAUUACUACAUACAUGUAUUACCUAAAACAGUCUAUUGUGAAUACUAUAUAUCAAUCAUUUUAUACCUUUGAAGAUUAUACUUUGACAUCCUCAAAGUGAUCAAGAGGAAUCAAAUUCAAACCCCAGGGUAUAAACAGUAACAGGGAAAGGUCAGGUUGAAUUUUUUUUUUCCGUGUUUGUAAUGGUGAGAGUGGGUUUAAUUCUUGAUGGAACAAAGUGAACCUUUAUUUUGAUAGUUUCUCUUCUUUAGAAAAUUGGAUGAAAACAGCUGACUUACAGCAGGCGAGAGAAUUUCUAGCUGUAAGGAACAUACAUAAUGCUUAAUCAAAUUUUUCAUGGCUUAAAAAGUGUCACACAAUUCUAUAUAGAUAGGGUAGAAUGCCAGCUGGCUUGGGCACAAAGCUCCUAGCUUUGUUGAAAACAUCCACAUGCAGUGAAAAUGUGACAUUUCUUUCAAUAUCUUCCUCUCUCUUUUUCAGUAUACUGCAAACAUUUUGAUUAUGGGUUUCACCCCAUGAGCUGCCCGGUUUACUAAUAACAUUACAAAUACUGUAGUUCUAAAGUCCUUGGCUUGUUUUAACUGGCAUAACCUGUUUAUUCUUCUUCCAAGAAAUAUUUUAUGUCUAACUUUCUUCAAAUUCUGAUGCAUACUGAUAACAAAAGGAUCUCUGGUACUUUUUGUGUUUCAGAUUAGAAAAGAAAAAAAAAAGAUAUUCACACAUCGUGUAUAGUCCAAAACACGCAAAAAAAGGCUUCAAGCAUCUGGUUUGCUGUAGCUUUCAGAAUGCUCAGCCUUUAAAGGAGAUUCUUUUCAAAAGGACUUUAACAAUAGAAUAAAUUAAAGGAAUAAACAUUUAUAUUAUGAGAAAAUAAACAACUUUUUAAAAGCAUUUACUUUCUUUUAGUCACCAUGUACAGUAAUUUUUUUCGUGUUUUUAUUUAGAAACUAGUGACUAGAAAGUUCUUAUUUUAGGUAACUGCAAUAAUAUUUUCUUGGUUAAUUAAAAUGGUACUCUAGAUUAGAAAUUGAUGAUGACAUGGUUUGUUAAUCUUACACUAUGUUUAGCUUUCAACUGAAAAAUAACAUGCCAUUAGUCUUCAUUAUUACAUGGCCCAGAAAUAGUAACACAGGUAUUUUUUUUCCUUUUUUUCAAUUUCUAAAAUAUGUCUCUGUUUUAAUUAUGAAGCACUUAUAAAAUUAAUUCUUUCUUCAUAUAAAGAAAAAGUUGCAACAUCAAAUUCAAGAUUUAGAGAUUUGUCGAUCUUUGCUGAAAUAAUUUUGCAACAAAAUAUUGAAAUAAUCGAAAUCUAAUUGUAUAGAUGAAAUAAAAACAUAUAAAUGUGUGUUGAGAUCCCUAAUGUUUGAUUUUUUUUUUUUAAAGCUAAUUGCUGCCUUGGUAAUUAUAGGUACUUCGGAUUUAGUUGUUGAUCACACUGUUUUUUGUUUUGUUUUGUUUCUUUCUUUUUUUUUUUUUUGAGACAGAGUCUUACUCUGUUGCCAGGCUGAAGGUGCGCCAUCUCAGCUCAUUGCAACCUCUGUCUCCCGGGUUCAAGUGAUUCUCCUGCCUCAGCCUCCCGAGUAGCUAGGAUUACAGGUGCGUACCACCACAACCAGCUAAUUUUUGUAUUUUUAGGAGAGACAGAGUUUCACCGUGUUGGCAAGGAUGGUCUCCAACUCCUGACCUUGUGAUCUGCCCACCUUGGCUUCCCAAAGUGCUGGGAUUACAGGCGUGAGCCACCACGCCUGGCCCACACUGGUUUUUUAAAGGUUGUGUAGCUAUAUUGUGCUAAGGCAUUCCUUUAAUAAAAAAAUUAUAAAAUUUUUAACUUCUAAAUAUCCUAUAUAUGAAUUAGC